AGUAAAAAAAGGAAGAAGAAGAAGAAGAAACCAUGG
rnacentral:sRNA from 1 species